UACGGGGGGGGCAAGCGUUGUUCGGAAUUACUGGGCGUAAAGGGCGCGUAGGCGGCACGGCAAGUCGGGAGUGAAAGCCCGGGGCUCAACCCCGGAACGUCUUUCGAAACUGCCGAGCUAGAGUGCGGAAGGGGCAACUGGAAUUCCCAGUGUAGCGGUGAAAUGCGUAGAUAUUGGGAAGAACACCUGAGGCGAAGGCGGGUUGCUGGGCCGACACUGACGCUGAGGCGCGAAAGCCAGGG
rnacentral:rRNA from 1 species